rnacentral:rRNA from 1 species
AGCAGUCGCCAGGGAAUACGAAGGGGGCUAGCGUUGUUCGGAUUUACCGGGCGUAAAGGGCGCGUAGGCGGACUGAUAAGUCAGGGGUGAAAUCCCAAGGCUCAACCUUGGAACUGCCUUUGAUACUGUUUGUCUUGAGUUCGAGAGAGGUAAGUGGAACUGCGAGUGUAGAGGUGAAAUUCGCAGAUAUUCGCAAGAACACCAGUGGCGAAGGCGGCUUACUGGCUCGAAACUGACGCUGAGGCGCGAAAGCGUGGGGAGCAAACAGGAUUAGAUACCCCCGUAGUCCCUGUCUCUUAUACC